GACGAACGCUGGCGGCGUGCCUAAUACAUGCAAGUAGAACGCUGAAGGAGGAGCUUGCUCUUCUGGAUGAGUUGCGAACGGGUGAGUAACGCGUAGGUAACCUGCCUGGUAGCGGGGGAUAACUAUUGGAAACGAUAGCUAAUACCGCAUAAGAGUAGAUGUUGCAUGACAUUUGCUUAAAAGGUGCAAUUGCAUCACUACCAGAUGGACCUGCGUUGUAUUAGCUAGUUGGUGGGGUAACGGCUCACCAAGGCGACGAUACAUAGCCGACCUGGGAGGGUGAUCGGCCGCACUGAGACUGAGACACGGCCCCUACCCCUACGUGGGGCAGCAGUAGGGAAUCUUCGGCAAUGGACGGAAGUCUGACCGAGCAACGCCGCGUGAGUGAAGAAGGUUUUCGGAUCGUAAAGCUCUGUUGUGAGAGAAGAACGAGUGUGAGAGUGGAAAGUUCACACUGUGACGGUAUCUUACCAGAAAGGGACGGCUAACUACGUG
rnacentral:rRNA from 1 species